ensembl:lncRNA
AUGUUUUCAGCUCAGAACAUUAACUCUAAUUUGGAUGUUUUUAUUUAUUUUUUUCUGGCUUCUUUUUUAAAAUUUAUUCACCGUUGCCUGGAUUUCACAAAGCUUUGUCCAGAAAAUGCCCAGAAGGUGUGUGCCGACAAAAAUGGUGCUACAGGGAAGAAAGGCACUGGGGAGUGUGCCCUUAUGAUCGGACAAAGAUCUUCUGCUGUUUUUGGAACUAUUGGAAUUAGCCACCUGGGAAAAGCAUCAAGGGCACCCACUGCCCAUAAUGAAUCCUAUCACUUCCUUUUGGCACAAGCUCUUUCUUCGAGGCCAGCUUCAUAAACCUGCGCAUUAGGACUCACCAGGCAGUCAAAGGAACAGUGCUUUCUCGCUCUCUAAUAUAACUUGUGGGUGUUGUUUUGUGAAUAAAAGCAAAGUGAUUGUGUGCA